UUGCCUUAAACUAAUGAGUAAGAAAAACAAAGCGAAUGGUGAAAGCCGUUCGCAGAGCUAAGCAAAAAAUCUUGCGCUAUAAUUUUUGAAGGGGUUAUAGGCUGGCCAGGUUUUGACGCUGCUUACUUUUGCAGAACUCACUUGUGCUGGCCUCCCACCCU